UAGGUAGGUGGUCUCAUUUGUCUGGGGUGAAAGCCCAGGGCUUAACCCUGGAAGUGCCCCGGAAACGGUGAGACUGGAGUACUGGAGAGGGUCGUGGAAUUCCCGGCGUAGCGGUGAAAUGCGUAGAGAUCGGGAGGAACACCAGAGGCGAAGGCGGCGACCUGGACAGUUACUGACACUCAACUACGAAAGCGUGGGGAGCAAACAGGAUUAGAUACCCUGGUAGUCCACGCUGUAAACGAUGGGUACUAGGUUUGGUGGGUCUUGACCCCCGCCGAACCGGAGCUAACGCACUAAGUACCCCGCCUGGGAAGUACGGUCGCAAGACUAAA
rnacentral:rRNA from 1 species